AACGUAGGUUCCGAGCGUUAUCCGGAUUUACUGGGCGUAAAGCGCGUUCAGGCGGUUCGGCAAGUCGGGCAUGAAAUCUCUCGGCUCAACCGGGAGAGGUUGUCCGAUACUGCUGGACUUGAGGGCAGUAGAGGGUGGUGGAAUUCCGGGUGUAGUGGUGAAAUGCGUAGAUAUCGUGAGGAAGACCAGUGGCGAAGGCGGGUCUCUGGACAGUUCCUGACGCUGAGGCGCGAAGGCCAGGGGAGCAAACGGG
rnacentral:rRNA from 1 species